AUGCGGAUGACGCGUGGAGGCGCAGCACGGGAGGAGAAGCAGGGCGCGGUGGAGGAGCUGCAGGAGACGGUCUCGACCAUGGUGUCCCUUAGCCGGCGAGCUCAUGGCCAGCAACAGCAACAAGGUGCAGAACGGGAUGGAGGCGACGGGUUCGAGGCGGGGGUCGCCGGAUGGCGCAGGGACGAAGCAGCAAGAGGAGGCGCUCGGGGACAGCUCGGGCUGCUCGACGGCGGAGGGAGCCCCGGUGGCCUGGCAGGCCGGCGGGGUUGCUCGUUCCCGAGCUGCUGCUCGAAGCAGGGGAAGCUGACGGAGGAGGCGAGACAGGGAGCGGCGUCAGGCGAUGCAGUAGGGCAACGAGGAUGGAUGGCCUCGCGCACAGCGGAGGGAGGAGGCAACGAGGGGAAGGGGCGCAGCGGAGAGGAUGGGGCAAGGGCGCCAAUCGAGGAGGAGGGAGGCGAGGGGAUCGGGCGCAGGUUCUUCCUGGCGGCGCAAGCGAGGGGAACGAGGAGGAGAUGGAUCGGGAGGAUGGUCUGGCUAGGGUUAAAGGGCGCGGCUGGGCCAAGAUGCAAAUGGGCCGGCCUGGUUGCUGGGCUUCUUCUCUCCCUCUACUCUUUUAUUUUCCAAAACAGAAAAUACCAAAGAGGAAAAGAAGAGGAAAUGAAGUGUUUGGGAUAG
rnacentral:rRNA from 1 species